rnacentral:tRNA from 1 species
UGGGAGGUAGCCAAGUUGGUAAGGCGUCUGACUUUGAAUCAGAUCAUGCGGAGGUUCGAAUCCUCCCCUCCCAGCCA